AAUAGCUUUAGGGCUAGCCUCGGCAGAGAUACGUGGAGGUAGAGCACUGAAUUUCCUAGGGGGCGUCAAAGCCUACCGAAGAAUAUCAAACUCCGAAUGCCAUGAUAUUGCUUGCCGGGAGUCAGACUAUACGAGAUAAGUUGGAUAGUCAAAAGGGAAAGAGCCCAGACCUCCAGCUAAGGUCCCAAAGUGCGUGUUAAGUGGAAAAGGAUGUGGGAUCUCUAAGACAACCAGGAUGUUGGCUCAGAAGCAGCCAUGCAUUCAAAGAGUGCGUAAUAGCUCACUGGUCGAGAGGUCCUGCGCCGAAAAUGUCCGGGGCUGAAACACGACACCGAAGCUGAGGAAUCGAAAGAUUGGUAGAGGAGCAUUGCAUAAGGGAAGAAGCAGUACCGGAAGGAGCUGUGGACUUUAUGGAAGAGAGAAUGCCGGAAUGAGUAGCGAGAAUGAGGUGGGAAUCCUCAUGGCCGAAUAUCCAAGGUUUCCAGGGUAAAGCUGAUCUGCCCUGGGUAAGUCGGGGCCUAAGGCGAGGUCGGAAGACGUAGCCGAUGGACAACAGGUUGAGAUUCCUGUACUGCAGUAUGACAGAACUGUGGGGACACGUGUGGAGAGCAUAGCCGCGGAAUGGAAAGCCGCGGGCAAGCGAGGUAGGAGUCACAUAGGAAAAACCGUGUGGCAAUCCAAAGGCGUGAUGCGGAGCGAACUGAAGUAGCGAAGUAUGUGAGCCAUGCGUCGAGAAAAGCCGCUAUUGUUCAUACUGUACCCGUACCGUAAACCGACACAGGUGGAUGAGGAGAGAAUCCUAAGGCCGGCGGAAGAAGCAUUGUCAAGGAACUCGGCAAAAUGACCCCGUAACUUCGGGAGAAGGGGUGCCAGGGAGACCUGGCCGCAGAGAAUAGGCUCAAGCAACUGUUUAGCAAAAACACAGGUCUAUGCAAAACCGAAAGGUGAGGUAUAUGGGCUGACGCCUGCCCGGUGCUGGAAGGUUAAGAGGAGAGGUUAGCGCAAGCGAAGCUUUGAAUUUAAGCCCCAGUAAACGGCGGCCGUAACUAUAACGGUCCUAAGGUAGCGAAAUUCCUUGUCGGGUAAGUUCCGACCCGCACGAAAGGCGUAAUGAUUUGAGCGCUGUCUCGACAAUGCAUCCGGUGAAAUUGAAGUACCAGUGAAGAUGCUGGUUACCUGCGCCAGGACGGAAAGACCCCAUGGAGCUUUACUCCAGCUUGAUACUGGGAUUCGGUAUUGCAUGUACAGGAUAGGUGGGAGGCAAAGAAGAGGUGACGCCAGUUGCCUUGGAGCCGGUGUUGGGAUACCACCCUUGCAGUAUUGGGUUUCUAACCAGCCGCCGUGAACCGGCGGUGGGACAAUGUCAGGCGGGGAGUUUGACUGGGGCGGUCGCCUCCGAAAGGGUAUCGGAGGCGCUCAAAGGUUCCCUCAGAAUGGUCGGAAACCAUUCGAAGAGUGCAAAGGCAGAAGGGAGCUUGACUGCGACACCGACGGGUGGAGCAGGUACGAAAGUAGGACUUAGUGAUCCGGUGGUAUUAAGUGGGAAUGCCAUCGCUCAACGGAUAAAAGCUACCCUGGGGAUAACAGGCUUAUCACUCCCAAGAGUUCACAUCGACGGAGUGGUUUGGCACCUCGAUGUCGGCUCAUCGCAUCCUGGGGCUGUAGUAGGUCCCAAGGGUUGGGCUGUUCGCCCAUUAAAGCGGUACGCGAGCUGGGUUCAGA
rnacentral:rRNA from 1 species